CACGUAGGCACCAAGCGUUGUCCGGAUUUAUUGGGCGUAAAGAGCUCGUAGGCGGUUCAGUAAGUCGGGUGUGAAAACUCUGGGCUUAACCCGGAGAGGCCACUCGAUACUGCUGAACUUGAGUACGGUAGGGGAGUGGGGAAUUCCUGGUGUAGCGGUGAAAUGCGCAGAUAUCAGGAGGAACACCCAUGGCGAAGGCAGCUCUCUGGUCGACCUCUGACGCUGAGACGCGAAAGCGUGGGGAGCAAACAGG
rnacentral:rRNA from 1 species